CAGCAACGUGACGCUUACCUCCUCGCACUUUGGGAGCUCCUCGAACGAGACGUCCAGAUCGGCCGUGUCGGCGCUCCGGUGCGCCACCUCUAUUUUGCGGUUGGGGUCCUUCAGGUGCCAGCGCUUGGCUCGGUAGCUGCUAGGAACGUUGAAGGAGCGGACGGACUUGACUUCGAUGGGUUCCAGGCUCCCGUAAACAAAGUCCUUCUCCCUAGGGGUGCAGGCGGCCAGCUGUCCGAAGUUGAUGAGCAUGGCUCCGUUGUGCACCAGGAGCUGUACUUCUGAAGACUUUCCCUGUCCAGCUCAUCACUCGGUUCCUCUUCCAUCAUCUUUGCGCAGACAUUCGGUGUAUCUCCAGCAGAAGCCGAACAUAAAUCCUCCCUCGUGACCCCAACGUCGAUAUCUUCGGGAUCCGUCAACUCCGGGAAAACCCUCUUCAUCUUGAUGGACUUGAACAGCAGCUCUUGAUCCCUCAGCGCCAAGGCGACAUCGAGCUGCCGUUGGCUUUCUCGGGACACGUUCCUGUAGAACGUCAAGUCAUUGUCCGGAACGGGCCAGCGGUUCCACUCCUGAGAGCAGCCGACCACGCUGGCGGGACACGCCUCCAGGUGGCGGGCCCGCCGAUGCCGCGGCAUGCUCAACGGGCAGCCGUAGCCGGCGUUGAGGCAAGGAACCGUCUCGUUGGGGCACAGAAGGCGAUGCUCGUCCUCUUUGCAGGCGUGAAGGGAGGAGCCGCAGUCGUUGGGGCAGCGGACCACCGCGCAGCCCAGGGAGAGCCACGACGGCGCCGGGCAGCGGAUGGCGUAGCAGUGCUCGCAGUGCUCGUGGCGGACCGCUGGCAUCCUCCUGAACAUCGACAUUGGCUCACAUUCAGUGGCGAGAAUCAACAGCACAAAUAUUUCAUGAGUCUACUUCAGACUUUUUGUUCUUGACGUGAGGAUUUUGUUUCCUCACAACUUCUUACAAUUAGAAACCGAUGCGUCUAUUCCUUAGUUUUGUCCAAAUAGCCUUGCUAUGUUUUUCAACCUCCGAGGCUAAUGUGCCAAAUGGAGCCACACUUGUUUCAUUUGUUAGUUCAUCUGACACGUCUCAAUGUUAGCUCAGCUACGCUAUCCCGUUCUUUUGAGCCAAUGCUAAAAAGCGCAUCUUCAAAAUGAAUCAAAAGAACAUGUCAAAUCUUUUCCGCCAUCAAAAACAUUAACAGCCAGUGCAGCGAAUGCAAUAAAUAUUUCUCACCU